rnacentral:rRNA from 1 species
GACGAACGCUGGCGGCGUGCUUAACACAUGCAAGUCGAGCGGUAAGGCCCUUUCGGGGGUACACGAGCGGCGAACGGGUGAGUAACACGUGGGUGACCUGCCCUCAGCUCUGGGAUAAGCCUGGGAAACCGGGUCUAAUACCGGAUAUGACUCCAUGACGCAUGUUGUGGGGUGGAAAGCCUUGUGCGGCUGAGGAUGGGCCCGCGGCCUAUCAGCUUGUUGGGUGGGGUGAUGGCCUACCAAGGCGACGACGGGUAGCCGGCCUGAGAGGGCGACCGGCCACACUGGGACUGCGACACGGCCCAGACUCCGUACGGGAGGCAGCAGGUGGGGAAUAUUGCGCAA